rnacentral:rRNA from 1 species
AGCAGUCGCCACGGUAAUACGGAGGGUGCAAGCGUUAAUCGGAAUUACUGGGCGUAAAGCGCACGCAGGCGGUCUGUCAAGUCAGAUGUGAAAUCCCCGGGCUUAACCUGGGAACUGCAUUUGAAACUGGCAGGCUAGAGUCUUGUAGAGGGGGGUAGAAUUCCAGGUGUAGCGGUGAAAUGCGUAGAGAUCUGGAGGAAUACCGGUGGCGAAGGCGGCCCCCUGGACAAAGACUGACGCUCAGGUGCGAAAGCGUGGGGAGCAAACAGGAUUAGAUACCCCAGUAGUCCCUGUCUCUUAUAC